rnacentral:rRNA from 1 species
CCUACGGGAGGCAGCCGUGGGGGAUAUUGGACAAUGGGCGCGAGCCUCAACCAGCCAAGUCGCGUGAGGGAAGACGGUCCUAUGGAUUGUAAACCUCUUUUGUCGGGGAGCAAAAGACGCCACGCGUGGCGUUCCGAGAGUACCCGAAGAAAAAGCAUCGGCUAACUCCGUGCCCGCAGCCGCGGUAAUACGGAGGAUGCGAGCGUUAUCCGGAUUUAUUGGGUUUAAGGGGUGCGCAGGCGGAAGAUCAAGUCAGCGGUAAAAUUGAGAGGCUCAACCUCUUCGAGCCGUUGAAACUGGUUUUCUUGAGUGAGCGAGAAGUAUGCGGAAUGCGUGGUGUAGCGGUGAAAUGCAUAGAUAUCACGCAGAACUCCGAUUGCGAAGGCAGCAUACCGGCGCUCAACUGACGCGCAUGCACGAAAGUGUGGGUAUCGAACAGGAUUAGAUACCCUAGUAGUC